AUUGAACGCUGGCGGCAGGCCUAACACAUGCAAGUCGGGCGAGCGGCGGACGGGUGAGUAAUGUAUGGGGACUGCCUGAUGGAGGGGGAUAACUACUGGAAACGGUAGCUAAUACCGCAUACCAUCAGAUAACCCAUAUGGGAUUAGCUUGUAGGUGAGGUAACGGCUCACCUAGGCGACGAUCCCUAGCUGGUCCGAGAGGAUGAUCCCCCCCACUGGGACUGAGACACGGCCCAGACUCCGCCGGCGCCCCCCGUGGGGCCUCUUGCUCUCUGGGCGCAAGCCUGCUGCAACCAUGCCGCGUGUAUGCCGAAGGCCUUCGGGUUUUCCGGUACUUUCAGUCGGGAGGCGUUACCGACAGAAGAAGCACCGGCUAACUCCGUGCCAGCCGCCGCGGUAAUAC
rnacentral:rRNA from 1 species